rnacentral:tRNA from 1 species
GCCUCAUUAGCGUAAUGGGAGCGCAUCUGGCUGAAGACCGGCAGGAGAAAGUUCGAAUCUUUCAUGAGGCA